CGUUCCCUUCUGUGUUGGUGACUGACGAAAGGUUUGAGCCAACAAAAUGUUGAACGGGAAUCCUCCCUGACGGUGGAGAGCACACCCCGCACCGGGGAAGCCAGAAGCCGUUACAAGGGUACCCACCUAUGUGGGACGGGUUCAACAUCAAUCGUCAGCACGGCAUCGGCGGGGAACAU
rnacentral:other from 1 species